rnacentral:tRNA from 1 species
ACCUGGGUGGCUCAGUUGGUUAAGCAUCUGACUUUGGUUCAGAUCAUGGUCUCAAGGUUUGUGGGUUUGAGCCCCGCAUCAGGCU